rnacentral:misc_RNA from 1 species
CAGGCCGAGUCAUAUGAAGACUCCCAAAUCCACUUUGCCUUGAAUGAUUAACACUAAAUCUUAAACAGAGUUUCAAAAAGCUUUUCGUCAUACGAAUUCUUCAUCAUUUACUCAAAGCCCUCGCGGAUUGUCUUUAUCAGGACACA